CGAAAUUCUCCUUCGUUUCUCCACCAAAUCGAUCGUGUAAGGCACCAGGAGCCCGACAGAAUUGAAAAAAGGACCUUCGAGGGGUCAAAGUAGCUCGGACCAUCUGCUGUAGACGUACGCGGGAUCCACCACCGGGCCACUCAUAACCUCCGCGCUUCAAGUCAGGUAGAGUUUAUAGAAAAUCCCUGAAACCUUGAAAUUUAGAAAAUGCUCUGAUAUCUCGUUGAAACUGAAAAAACUGGAGUUGGGAUUUUGUUAUUUGAAUUAUUCUGGCAGUUGGUGUGGAUUA